rnacentral:misc_RNA from 1 species
GUGAAUCAUCGAAUCUUUGAACGCACAUUGCGCCCUGUGGUAUUCCGCAGGGCAUGCCUGUUCGAGCGUCAUUUCAACCCUCAAGCCCCGCUUGGUGUUGGGCCCCGCCCGCGUGGCCGGCCUGAAAGACAGUGGCGGCGCCGUCCGGCUCUAAGCGCAGUACAGCUCUCGCUCUAGGGCCUGGCGGUGGCCUGCCAGAACCCCCCACUCUGUGGUUGACCUCGGAUCAGGUAGGGAUACCCGCUGAACUUAAGCAUAUCAAUAAGCGGAGGA